GGGCCUGUAGCUCAGUUGGCCAGAGCGCGCCCCUCGCACGGGCGAGGUCGACGGUUCAAAUCCGUCCAGGUCCA
rnacentral:tRNA from 1 species